CAAGUAGUGUCUGUCCCAGCAGGUAGUGUCUGUCCCAGCAGGUAGUGUCUGUCCCAGCAGGUAGUGUCUGUCCCAUCAGGUAGUGUCUUUCCCAUCAUGUAGUGUCUGUCCCAGCAGGCAGUGUCUGUCCCAUCGGGUAGUGUCUGUCCCAGCAGGCAGUAUCUGUCCCAUCGGGUAGUGUCUGUCCCAGCAGGUAGUGUCUGUCCCAUCAGGUAGUGUCUUUCCCAUCAGGUAGUGUCUUUCCCAUCAGGUAGUGUCUGUCCCAGCAGGUAGUGUCUGUCCCAGCAGGUAGUGUCUGUCCCAGCAGGUAGUGUCUGUCCCAUCAGGUAGUGUCUUUCCCAUCAUGUAGUGUCUGUCCCAGCAGGUAGUGUCUGUCCCAGCAGGUAGUGUCUGUC
ensembl:lncRNA